rnacentral:rRNA from 1 species
CCUACGGGGGGCAGCAGUGAGGAAUAUUGGUCAAUGGGCGCAAGCCUGAACCAGCCAAGUCGCGUGAGGGAAGACGGCCCUACGGGUUGUAAACCUCUUUUGCCGGGGAGCAAGCCUGAGCACGUGUGCCCAGGCGGAGAGUACCCGGAGAAAAAGCAUCGGCUAACUCCGUGCCAGCAGCCGCGGUAAUACGGAGGAUGCGAGCGUUAUCCGGAUUUAUUGGGCGUAAAGGGAACGCAGGCGGUCUUUUAAGUCUGAUGUGAAAGCCUUCGGCUUAACCGGGG